GCUCAGAGUGAACGCUGGCGGUAGGCCUAACACAUGCAAGUCGAACGGCAGCACAGUAAGAGCUUGCUCUUAUGGGUGGCGAGUGGCGGACGGGUGAGGAAUACAUCGGAAUCUACUUUUUCGUGGGGGAUAACGUAGGGAAACUUACGCUAAUACCGCAUACGACCUACGGGUGAAAGCAGGGGACCUUCGGGCCUUGCGCGAUUGAAUGAGCCGAUGUCGGAUUAGCUAGUUGGCGGGGUAAAGGCCCACCAAGGCGACGAUCCGUAGCUGGUCUGAGAGGAUGAUCAGCCACACUGGAACUGAGACACGGUCCAGACUCCUACGGGAGGCAGCAGUGGGGAAUAUUGGACAAUGGGCGCAAGCCUGAUCCAGCCAUACCGCGUGGGUGAAGAAGGCCUUCGGGUUGUAAAGCCCUUUUGUUGGGAAAGAAAUCCAGCCGGUUAAUACCUGGUUGGGAUGACGGUACCCAAAGAAUAAGCACCGGCUAACUUCGUGCCAGCAGCCGCGGUAAUACGAAGGGUGCAAGCGUUACUCGGAAUUACUGGGCGUAAAGCGUGCGUAGGUGGUUGUUUAAGUCUGUUGUGAAAGCCCUGGGCUCAACCUGGGAACUGCAGUGGAAACUGGACAACUAGAGUGUGGUAGAGGGUAGCGGAAUUCCCGGUGUAGCAGUGAAAUGCGUAGAGAUCGGGAGGAACAUCCAUGGCGAAGGCAGCUACC
rnacentral:rRNA from 1 species